rnacentral:rRNA from 1 species
UAGGGAAUCUUCCGCAAUGUGCGAAAGCUUGACGGAGCAACGCCGCGUGAGUGAUGAAGGUCUUCGGAUCGUAAAACUCUGUUAUUAGGGAAGAACAAAUGUGUAAGUAACUAUGCACGUCUUGACGGUACCUAAUCAGAAAGCCACGGCUAACUACGUGCCAGCAGCCGCGGUAAUACGUAGGUGUCAAGCGUUAUCCGGAAUUAUUGGGCGUAAAGCGCGCGUAGGCGGUUUUUUAAGUCUGGUAUGAAAGCCCACGGCUCAGCCGUGGAGGGUCAUUGAAAUCUAAAAAACUUGAAUGCAGAAGAGGAAAGUGAAAUACCAUGUGUAGCGAUGAAAUGUGCAGAGAUAUGGAGGAACACCAGUGGCGAAGGCGACUUUCUGAUCUGUAAAUGACGCUGAUGUGCGAAAGCGUGGGGAUCAAACAGG